rnacentral:rRNA from 1 species
AUGUUACUCCGCCUAAGAAUACUGUUUACUCUGCCUAAGAAUAACUCCCAACAUUUCACAAUAGACUUUUUGUCAAAGGAACAUUUACAUGCAUCCACACAUUUUAGGAUAAAGAUCAACAUCAUCUACAUCAUUCCAUCCUUGACCAACCUAGAGCCUACAACUGAAAUCUACACUGACGGUACACACAAGCAAAUUAGAUUUCGUAUUCAGUCCCUCUCUGUCUUCGUCAAAUGCAGACAUCUCCUUCCCCCAAAUUCAGAUUUCAUACUCAGUGCCUCUUUAUCUUUAUCUAAUCCAGAUGCAAAUUCUCAUCGGAUGAAAAGCCAUCACAAGAUUCAUAACCAAGAUGCAACUGUACCUAUUUAUUCAGUGCGAACAGGGCCGCCGAUGCCGACGAUGAAGGCGUGGUCGACGAAGUGGCGGGAGUCGAGCGUCGGCGCACGCUUGGAGAAGACCAAUUUUUGCCAAGACCAUUUUCUUGGUGUGGACUGUGGCGUCGACCUGAUGGUGUAG